UACGGAGGGUGCAAGCGUUAUCCGGAUUCACUGGGUUUAAAGGGUGCGUAGGAGGGCAGGUAGGUCAGUGGUGAAAUCCCCGAGCUUAACUUGGGAACUGCCGUUGAUACUAUCUGUCUUGAAUAUCGUGGAGGUGAGCGGAAUAUGUCAUGUAGCGGUGAAAUGCUUAGAUAUGACAUAGAACACCAAUUGCGAAGGCAGCUCGCUACACGAAUAUUGACUCUGAGGCACGAAAGCGUGGGGAUCAAACAGG
rnacentral:rRNA from 1 species